UCGGGCUCAUAACCCGAAGGUCGUGGGUUCAAAUCCCUCCUCCGCAACCA
rnacentral:tRNA from 1 species